rnacentral:rRNA from 1 species
UUUUAUAUCUGCUCAGACGAACGCUGGCGGCGUGCCUCAUACAUGCAAGUCGAGCGGACAGAUGGGAGCUUGCUCCUUGAUGUCAGCGGCGGACGGGUGAGUAACACGUGGGUAACCUGCCUGUAAGACUGGGAUAACUCCGGGAAACCGGGGCUAAUACCGGAUGCUUGAUUGAACCGCAUGGUUCAAUUAUUAAAAGGUGGCUUUUAGCUACCACUUACAGAUGGACCCGCGGCGCAUAGCUAGUUGGUGAGGUAACGGCUCACCAAGGCAACGAUGCGUAGCCGACCUGAGAGGGUGAUCGGCCACACUGGGACUGAGACACGGCCCAGACUCCUACGGGAGGCAGCAGUAGGGAAUCUUCCGCAAUGGACGAAAGUCUGACGGAGCAACGCCGCGUGAGUGAUGAAGGUUUUCGGAUCGUAAAACUCUGUUGUUAGGGAAGAACAAGUACCGUUCGAAUAGGGCGGUACCUUGACGGUACCUAACCAGAAAGCCACGGCUAACUACGUGCCAGCAGCCGCGGUAAUACGUAGGUGGCAAGCGUUGUCCGGAAUUAUUGGGCGUAAAGCGCGCGCAGGCGGUUUCUUAAGUCUGAUGUGAAAGCCCCCGGCUCAACCGGGGAGGGUCAUUGGAAACUGGGGAACUUGAGUGCAGAAGAGGAGAGUGGAAUUCCACGUGUAGCGGUGAAAUGCGUAGAGAUGUGGAGGAACACCAGUGGCGAAGGCGACUCUCUGGUCUGUAACUGACGCUGAGGCGCGAAAGCGUGGGGAGCGAACAGGAUUAGAUACCCUGGUAGUCCACGCCGUAAACGAUGAGUGCUAAGUGUUAGAGGGUUUCCGCCCUUUAGUGCUGCAGCAAACGCAUAAGCACUCCGCAUG